rnacentral:rRNA from 1 species
UACGUAGGGGGCAAGCGUUGUCCGGAUUUAUUGGGCGUAAAGAGCGUGUAGGCGGUUUGGUAGGUCCGUUGUGAAAACUCGAGGCUCAACCUCGAGACGCCGAUGGAAACCAUCAGACUAGAGUCCGGAAGAGGAGAGUGGAAUUCCUGGUGUAGCGGUGAAAUGCGCAGAUAUCAGGAAGAACACCCGUGGCGAAGGCGGCUCUCUGGAACGCAACUGACGCUGAGACGCGAAAAGCGUGGGGAGCAAACAGG